AGUGAACGCUGGCGGUAGGCCUAACACAUGCCAGUCGAACGGCAGCACAGUAAGAGCUUGCUCUUACGGGUGGCGAGUGGCGGACGGGUGAGGAAUACAUCGGAAUCUACUUUUUCGUGGGGGAUAACGUAGGGAAACUUACGCUAAUACCGCAUACGACCUACGGGUGAAAGCAGGGGAUCUUCGGACCUUGCGCGAUUGAAUGAGCCGAUGUCGGAUUAGCUAGUUGGCGGGGUAAAGGCCCACCAAGGCGACGAUCCGUAGCUGGUCUGAGAGGAUGAUCAGCCACACUGCAACUGAGACACGGCCCAGACUCCUACGGGAGGCAGCAGUGGGGAAUAUUGGACAAUGGGCGCAAGCCUGAUCCAGCCAUACCGCGUGGGUGAAGAAGGCCUUCGGGUUGUAAAGCCCUUUUGUUGGGAAAGAAAAGCAGCAGGUUAAUACCCCGCUGUUCUGACGGUACCCAAAGAAUAAGCACCGGCUAACUUCGUG
rnacentral:rRNA from 1 species